GACGAACGCUGGCGGCGUGCUUAAAACAUGCAAGUCGAACGGACUUCUCAUGAAGCUUGCGAUUGAGAAGUUAGUGGCGGACGGGUGAGUAACGCGUGGGCAACCUGCCCCUGAGCCUGGGAUAACAGUUCGAAAGGACUGCUAAGACCGGAUAUACUUGCGGUGAAGCAUUUCACUGCAAGGAAAGGGAACGCUCAGGGAUGGGCCCGCGUCCCAUUAGCUAAGUUGGUGAGGUAACGGCCCACCAAGGCGACGAUGGGUAGCCGGCCUGAGAGGGUGAACGGCCACACUGGGACUGAGACACGGCCCAGACUCCUACGGGAGGCAGCAGUUGGGAAUCUUCGGCAAUGGGCGCAAGCCUGACCGAGCAACGCCGCGUGAGUGAUGAAGGUUUUCGGAUUGUAAAGCUCUGUCUUCCGGGACGAUAAUGACGGUACCGGAGGAGGAAGCCACGGCUAACUACGUG
rnacentral:rRNA from 1 species